rnacentral:lncRNA from 1 species
GAUAGUAUUUCAAAAUAUUGGCAUUUCAAAUACAUCUCAUAAUCACACAACUACAAAUGACCAAAGAAAAUAUAUUAUAUUCAGCAUAACAUCAAAAAGUAUAAAAUGUCUAAUGAGUUGAAUCAAUAUUACAAUGACCAUAGUGAUGCAUCUAAGAAGUGUCCCAUGCAAAACAAAAUGGUAACUAAGAUAUAAUGGUCCAAGCAUUUCGCAUAAGCUAAUUUUCAAUGAACUUCAUAACUUUACUUUGUUGCAUGACUCGAAGAUCAUCAGACUCAUCACCAUUAUCGUCGUACUGAUCAUAAGGCUCCUCACCAUAUAUAUAAUCUCCCAUAUUGCCAUAGAUACCAUCGUCAUUAUUAGUAUCAUGAGCAUUAUCACAACUCGAUUUAUCUCCAAUAUUACUUCCCAAUACCUAAGAAGUUAUAAGAGAGAUGAACAAUGAUAUAAUGGGCUGGAAUUUAAUUGAGCUAGAGGGAACAAACUUACUUGUUCAGGAAUCAUCACAUUGAUAUAGAAAUCACAUCUUAGUAAGAAUUAUUAGUGUCACACCAAUAUUUCAAUCCUUUUUCAACCAUACAUCUUGCGAAUAGAAACUGAAAAGUCAACAUGAACAAGAAAAAUAAAACGACUGUAUUGUUUUGCACCUUUUAUGCACAAUUGAUGUGUUUCCCCCUUCUAUCUUCCCCCCCUGACCUACACACACAUGUCUCGGUAUGCACCAGCCCAACAAACAUAACACACGCACAAGAUCCAAGAAUAUCUUCUAGGGAACAAGUAGUUGUACGAAGCUAAGCUAGUACUAUUCCCUUGUUUGUACGUAGUUGUUUUGCCAGCAUAGUUCUGUGACUCGUACAUAUUUGACAUCCUAGCUACCAAGGAUUUGACAUUCAGAAUCAAUCAGACUAGAUUAUCUUGGGUUGAAACCUUAGAUUGCAGAUAAGUACUAGUAUUAUUACUGGCGAGUAAUUGGUACGAUGGAACCAAAGAGGUGGUACGUACAACUACCAGAAUUUGGCGAUCUCACUGGUGGACGGGAUCUGCUUGGACAAUUUUUGAAACGAGCGAUCUGCUCAGACAAUGAUUCGUAGAAAAAUCCAGAUGAAUGGAAACAUAUGUACUCCAGCAUGUAUGAAUUGAAAAAAAGGAGAUGGAUGGGAUUUCAUUAUGGUGAUACGGUACCUCUUCGGAAGGAUCAAACUUCUGGCUAGGUGGGGAGAAGACCUUGCCUCGGGCGGCUGUUCGCUAGAGAACUGAUCAGCGCAGAACAUCAGCCCACGGCGCCGGUCGCUCAUUAGCACGCCCCGCCGCUCGGCCAUCAGCCCUGGACCCCAGCCCCCGCUAGCCCAUCAGCCCGUGCCGCCGCCGCUCGCCGUUUGCCG